UACAGAGGAUGCAAGCGUUAUCCGGAAUGAUUGGGCGUAAAGCGUCUGUAGGUGGCUUUUUAAGUCCGCCGUCAAAUCCCAGGGCUCAACUCUGGACAGGCGGUGGAAACUACCAAGCUGGAGUACGGUAGGGCAGAGGGAAUUCCGGUGGAGCGGUGAAAUGCGUAGAGAUCGGAAGAACACCAACGGCGAAAGCACUCUGCUGGGCCGACACUGACACUGAGAGACGAAAGCUAGGGGAGCGAAUGGG
rnacentral:rRNA from 1 species